rnacentral:lncRNA from 1 species
UAAUUUUUCCUUAAUUUAAAACUUAAAAUGUUACCCUCAAAUUUAACAUAACACUCAACAAGAUCCAUAUGCCCGAGUGGGCAUACACCGAAAACAAAACAAAAUCAAGUGCUAGCGGAAAACAAAUAAAUCCCUAAAUUAAUUCAUAUCCUUGGAUCCCAUUCAUGUGUGAAUCCCUCGUUCCAGUCCAUCCUAUGCUAUCGCUUAUCCUGAAAAAAAUAUCAUUCGUGGUAAGUUUCAAAACUUAGUACAUGGAUAUCUAUUAAAUCUAUUAGUUCAUAAAUUCUUCCUUUUCCUUUACAUGGAUCAUCGGUUAACCCUCCCCAUGCCGUCAAACCCCGACGGGUCAUAUAGCCUCGUCAGGCCCGUUAAGUUCCAUUCGUUCCUUGUAUCGUCAAAUCCCUAAGGAUCCGUAAAUUCGUAUAAUGGCAUAAAAGAAAAUUGGGAGAUCGCAUGGUCUAAUAAAAACCCAAAAUGCACAAAAAAAAACCAAAGGUGAUGUAAAACCUUAAAUAAUAAAAUGGUCAGACCCACCUAUCGAUUUUAUUGAUUAAAAUCGAUUCGAUGAGCGUCCCAUGUAGGUGUCCGAGCCUUAAGCAAGUGCUUCUAUAGCCCUAGGGCAGCGUGAAUCCUGAACUUGGGAUCUGAUGGAGUAAAAUCCGCGAUUUUGGUCCCGUGUUCUUAAGGAUUCGUUGCUGUCCAGCAGCUCUUAUGUGCCUGAAAUUAACAUGGAAACUAGAGCAUCAAACAUGCAUAACCUAGGAGAAAAGGAACUUGCAACUUCGUUGCUGUCCAGCAGCGUUUGUGCGCCUGAAAACAACACAAGAUGGAUUAUAAAACCAACAUCCAUCCGGAAUAAAGACUAGCAACUACGUUGCUGUUCAGUAGCAUUUAUGCGCCUGAAUUAAAACAGAAAAUAGCGACGAAAAUCCGCAAUAAUCAGAAAUAACAACUUGUAAAUUCGCUGCUGUCCAGCCACAUUUAUGCGUAUGAAAACAGCAUGAAAAUAGAGCAUAGGCCAGCAUCAAUCAGGAAUAAAGACAAACAAUUCUGUUACUGUCCAGCAGCAUUUAUGCACCUGAUUCAAACCAGAAAGCAGAGACGAAAACUCGCAAUAAUCCGGAAUAAAAUUUAUAAAGUCAUGGCUGUCCAGCCGUAUUUAUGCGCUUGGAAUCAGCACUAAAACAGAGCAUAAAACCAACAUCAAACGAGAAUAAAGACUUGCAACUCCGUUACUUUCCAUCAACAUUUAUGCGCCCGAAUCAAAACAAAAAUAGAGUAACACCGUAAUAAAACACUAGCGAAAAACUAAAAAUCGGGAAUGAAGACUAGCAUUGAAUAUUGUGAAGAUCCUCUUCACCCCUAAGCCUAGGAGUGUUAACAUGACUACCAUUAUUAAACCGUGGAACACCAAAGACUAGCAUAACAACAACAAAAACGUUACCUUCUUGCACCAUUUCACCUCAUCUCUAUAACAUGACCUUUCAACUACAUAUACUACUAAAAGAAUCUUAUACCCACGUACCUUGAUCACUUCUUUAACCUUUUCUCUUCCCCUUCCAAGCCCUAGCCGAGAUCCUUCCCUUCCUCCUCCUUCAAUUUGCGUUUCCCUCUUCUUUUUCUUUUUCCCUCUUCUCUUCCCCCCAAUGUAUUCUCUUAAAUCCUAAUUCCUCUCCUCCAACCGUUCCCCCUCUUUCCUUUUUCUCCUCCUCAAUUACUUCUAAAAAUACAGAAUAUUCUCCCCUUUUUAUUUGACUCAAUUGCCCCUAAUUCAAAAUAUUUAUAUUCUGAAUUUUCUUUGACUUAAUUGUCCCCAAUUUCAAAUCCUAUUUCCAAAUUUCAAAUCCUAUUUCCAAAUUUCAAAUUUAAAGUUUCAAAUUCCCAUUGACUAAAUUACCCCUAAUUUGAAAUCCUAUUUAUUUUCUUGUUUAAUUAACCUUAACCCCUAGUCGACUAGCAUACUUGACUAGCCUAAUUGAUCUUAACCCAACCGGUUAGACCGAGUUGCCUUAUUUUUUGUUAAUUUUUUUUCCCCAAGGCUGCUCCUGUCGUUAGGGUUUCCUUUUCCUAUUAAGACCCCAAUUUUCAGAAUAUUACAUAAUUGUAAUACAAUGUUCUUCAGAAGAUCGAGAAUACAACUUGUACGUCACAGUUCUUUUAUUAUUUGGUUAUUUACAGUCUAUGGUUUUUAGUCCUUGAUAGAUAUUAGAUAUUUAAUAUUAUUUAUCUAAUAUAAGUUUUAUCUAUUUUUAUGAAUUUCUUUGUCGUUUUCUUUAUAUGUCGAUGUUUAUUUAUUCUUGUUCUAUUAAUGGGUUAAUAAAUUCUUGUUCUAUUUGAAGAAGAGAGUUUCCCACCUCUUCCUCAGGUACGUACCUUCUCCAAGUUAUAAGGGACCUGAUGGAGGCCAUUGAAUUCUUAGUCUACCCUCCUCCAUUAUAGUCUGGGGCAUAGAUGGGCAGGAAGGGGAAUCAUCUUUAGAUGGAGGUGAUUGCCACCACCAAGUCAGACUUUAUCACAUUCCGGUGAUGGAUAUACACUUCCGAUGUUAUAAAAUCAUAUAUAAAAAUCAAACCUUGUCUCUGAUACCAAAUGAUAGAAAUUAUCAUACUUUAUGAUCUAAGAUUUUUAUAUCAAGAAUGUAAUGUACUUACAGAUUCAAACGCAAUUUGUGUUGAAUCCAUUACAACGGAAGUACAGACUUGAUCUCUGUAUGUUUCUUUUGCCUUUCUCCUGAGAUUUUCUCUUUUUUGGGAUUCCUAAGACUUGUCUAUAUUGGAUGUCUUCUUUUGGACUAGUAGAAUAGAUGAUGUUUCUUUAACCCUCAUAUUUUAUUUAUAUAAAAGCAAUGGGAUAUUUACACAUUGAUCCAUAUAUUGAUACUUUAAUAUAAGGAGGUCUUGUUUAGGCUCCAAUAGGGACUUAGUCUUCCUUACUCUUUAUGACUUAGGUCAAGAGAUCACUAUUAUCAUAAAUCAUCUUGCCUUAUAGUAAUAUACACUAAUGUAUCCACAUGAAUGUAUCAUCACUUAAAUAACUUAAGACUUGUUAUUGUUAAUAUGUAAGUGUAGAUCAUUUACUUGAUAAUAUAACAAGAGAAAUUGCUAACAUUCUCCCACUUGAUCUACUAAACAUGUAUUGACCUUUAUUCAACCAUAUAAACAAUCUUUAAUGCAUGCUUUGUUUAUUUUUCUUUUUAAGUCUACACUCGGUCUCAUACAGACUACAAUAAUAAAUCACAGCGUCACUAUGUCUAAAUGUGCAACGUAGAAACUUCUGUGUAUCACAUUACGUUCGUCUUUAUUAACAUUAGCUUCAUGUGGUAGUACAACAAACUGAAUGAUACUUUAUAUAUGUAUCAUUCUUUUGUCAGUCCUCCGUAAUCUAAUCCUUAUGGUGAGCCCAUACUCACACUAGACAUUAUUUAUGAUUCUCAUGAACCAUAAAUCAAUUUAUGUAUCAUUUUUCUUCUUUAUUGUGAAAUACAUCACACACAAAAAAAAUGUAUACCUACUUUAUUAUUUUCUCAUUUUUAUUGUAAAAACCAUCACAAGAGAAAAAUUUAACUUUAUAAUUUCAUUCUUAUUGUGAAAAUCAUCACAAGAGUAAAAUUUAACUUUAUAAUCUCAUCCUUAUUAUGAAAUUCAUC